rnacentral:lncRNA from 1 species
GUUGAUGAGUGGUAGAUUUUUACUCAUUUGAGGCUCUUUUCUUAUUAAUUUUGACUAGCUUUAGGUAAGAAUUAGCGCUUUUAAUGUGAUUUUCUUCAUAUUUGCAGGAAAAUGAAAUGGAGAGUUGAUUUAUAAGACAUUUCAAGAAACCAAAUGAACUUGAGGCAAAAAGAGGUCAAAAGCUGAAAAAUGCAAAUUCUGGCAAAAAGUGUUCUACGCGAACGCGGUCAGACGACCCGCGAACACAAAGUCCUGGUCAUCAGAGAACCGCGAACACGAUGAGUUACAGCCGCAAAUGCGACCUUAAAGUUAACGGAGGACCGUGAACACGUCCCAUAGGACCACGAACACGCCAGUCCAAUCAACUGAUGUCCACAAACGCGAACAACUCUUCGCAAAUGCGGAGAGUAACUUUUCAGGCGCGUCGACAGAAUUAGACUUUCACCAAAUUGACUCCAAAAAUCCUUUUUACAUUUAUCAACAGUCAUUAUGAAGGAGGAUUUAUUCCAUUCCUAAUUCUUAGAAUAGAGUAGAGAGAAAACUUGUAGUGUCCAUCUUUGGGUUGAGACUUUGAAAGACAAGUUGCCUCAUAAUUCAUCUUUUGGAUUGAAGAUUGUGUUUCUAAUAGUAAUAUUUUGUAUCCUA